CUUAAUGACUUUAUGAGAUUUGUUAUUGUUGGUGAGGUUUGAUCUCUCGGUGGGGUGAUGGUUCUGAUGGAUCCUUGUCUUCUCUGCGCGCUACAUCUUCAGACCAUCGUGUUCUCCUGUCUCUUUUUAGUGUUUUUUUUUAGAUUCUUUUGAUGCAUACAGACAUUCAGGUAAUCAUUCAAUGACCUGAAGUCGCAGCUACAAGAGUUAACUCUCCGGAACAGCAGGGUAUACACUUUGAGGGGCUUGUCUUGUGUUUGAUGCUAAUCCAUUGGUGUUCUGAUCUAUGUAACCAGGGGCUGCAACAAUCUUGCUCAGCGAUUCAGAUAGGCUUCAGAUGCAAAGCUCUACAGACCUGAUUGUGGAGGAUGCUUUUCUCGGUGGGUGAUGGUUCUGAUGGAUCCCUGUCUUCUCUGCGCUACCUCUUCAGAUGACGUUCUUGCUGUGUACACGACAUUCAGAUGAGAGAUCGAUGAUCCGCAGAUUAUCCCCUAUGCGAGUUUGUUCUUAAACUUUGUCCCUUUUUAACUAUUAUUUGUAUUCAAUGUCUUUUUAAUGAAUCUAUAUCUCUCUUUGAUGCCUUUUUGUGUGUGUUUUUAUUGCACAUAUUUUACAAGCCGACAUCAUUGUUCGUGGUUAUGCUGAUUGGAAUUCUAGGUUUGCCUUGAAGGUCUUAGACCAAGUCUCCCUAAGCCAAAGGUUUCUGUGUGGGAGUGCGUUUGAUUUCUAAGUUCAACUUUCAGAUUACGUUGCUGUCAUGUCUCAGUUUAUCUUGAAGGAUUCCUUUGCUCUGUCGUUACUUCAUGUUGCCUCUUUGACAGUAUCCCUUUGUUAUAUCCCAGACAGCAUCAAGAACAUGAAGCCUCUUUGACAGGCUUUGAUGGAAACAAACUUCUAUGUGCUACGUCUUCAAGGGGUGUUUUGGAACCCAAUUAUGAUAUGAUCAUGGCGUAAACUUCUCCAGGCUGCUACGUCUUUAGGCACGUUCUCACAGAUUUGUGAAGGAUGGUACGAUUGAUCGGUGAUGGAUUUGACUGAUCGUUGUCACUCUAAUUCAUGUUGAUUUUUCUUCUAGGAUUGUGGAGGAGGAUGCUUUGAUCGGUUGGUGAUGGUCUUGAACUUCGAUAGAUCAUUUUUGUCUUCUCUGCGCUACAUCUUCAGGUAAUCUCUUGGACCUUGUUGUUGCUGUUUUCGUUGUGACCAUGGCGUUUCUCACUACAACUAAUCUCAUCUUCAACUCCGACCAAGAAGCAGAUCCGAGAUGGUUUUGAAGAAUUGGAAACUCUCAUAACAUACCUCAACAAGUUCGUGUUCUUCGUAAUCCUCCUGCUUCACCAUCUGUAGAUAUGGUGCAAGCCAGUGUCGUUUUGCAAGUGUGGAUCGGAGGACCUUGCUCUGUCCAUGAUAGCAACGAUCCUCUCUCUCGGAACAACCUAUCUUAUGCAAUUUGCAAGGAGAGCCCACGAGAGGAUAAUAAGAGUCAGAUGAAUUUUAUUUAAAGAGUUAAAGAGAUGUUGGAGGACAACAGUUGGCUCAUGCGUUCAAUCCGGAGGGAUCUGUGCUCGCUGCUGGUGCAGAGGAUGGGACUUUGAAUGGCCUAGCUUGCAUGAAAAUAUUGCUUAAUGGUGGUCCACUUUGCCGGAUUUCGGAGGUGAGUGCUUCUACUGCUGUUCUCAGUCUAUCAAAGGAGAAGGUCGAGGUGUUUGCCUCCUGUAGAUUUUACGGAGACAAUGCAGCCAAAUGAAAUUCUUUACAUUGCUGCAAACACUUAUUGCAGAGUGGGGUUUUCUCUGUUGUUGAAUCUUUCUCUUCAUCAUCUGUUUUGAUUUUAGAGGAUGCUUUGCUCGGUGGGUGAUGGUCUGAUGGAUCCUUGUCUUCUCUGUGCUACCUCUUCAGACCAUCGAGAUUAAUGUGUGUGAGGAGGGUUUGAAGAGAAGGAAUAAAACAUUGUAAAAGUGAAUGGUUUGCGUAUGGAGCUAGAACCAUACAAGGAGAUUGUGUCUACUGCUUUGUUUAACUCAGGAUGCAACCAUGCAAGGUUAUUGGUGGGAUGAGAGGGUAUACACUUUGACGUGAUGCUAAUCGAUUGGGGUUCUGAUCUCUGUAACCAGGGGGCAGUAAUCUUGCUCAGCAAUUCAGAUAGGCUUCAGAUGCAGAGCUCUACCGACCUGGACCGUCUGAAGAAACUCAAGUCAGAAUAUAUUUCUUGCUAUAUGGCUAACAGACUUUUCAUAUGACUCUUUUCUUCUACAAUUUUUUUUUGCAGACUCCAGGACGUGAAUCUAUUGCAGCCAAGCUUGUGUGGAAAAUUUGACAUAGCAGGUGAGUUAGAAGUCUUUAAUGGUGGACAACAGAUUGACUCAGCAGCUUGCUUAUGGACCGACGUGGUUAUAUAUGGGGAAGAGUACACUCUUAAAUCAUUACAACAUGAUGACAAAGUAACACGGAUAUGCGACAGGAUGCUUUGCUCGGAGGUUAAUGGUUCUGAUGAUGGAUCGUUGUCUUCUCUGCGCUACAUCUUCAGGUAGUGUUCUUCCUCUUAAUCUUUUUUUUUUCUUUCUUUCUGUAUAAGUGAAAUUACAUAUCUCUGUUUCGUACAUGCGGACCAUCGUACAUGCGGACCAUCGAGAUUAAUGUGUGUGAGGGUUUGAAGAGAAGAAAAAACAUUGUGGAAAUGAAUGGUUUGCGUAUGAAGCUAGAACCAUAUAAGUAGAUUGCGUCUGCUGCUCAGGAUGCAAGCAAGGUUAUUGGUGGGAAGAGAGUUAUGACUGGAUUGCUUUAGGAAACCUCAUUACUUGAUCCAAAUGAGGGGUAUAUACACUUUGAGGGGCUUGUCUCGUGUUUAGUGCUAAUCGAUUGGUGUUCUGAUCUAUGUAAUCGAUCACUGUUGAUAAGGUACUUGGUGGAAUGGAAGGGAUGACUGGAUUACGCUAGGAAACCUUAUUGCUUGUUCGUGCUGUCUACACACAUUCAGAUGAGAGAUCGAUGAUCCACAGAUUCUUUCCUACAAGAAUCGUGGAGGGGGAGUGAUAUGAUAAAUUUCGUACCUUUAUGUGUGUUUUCAUUGCAUAACCACAGGCUUACAUCAAGAGUUGUUGUGGUGUGUGAUUUGAAAUUUCUUUUGUCUUCUAAUUCUCAGUUGAAGCAUUAUAAUGGUGACGAGAGAGCAAACAAGUCAGAGAGAGAGAGGUGGGCGUUGAUUGAUUUAUUUGACUCUUUCGUUGAUGAUUUUUUGCUGAAGAAUGAAGUAGAUUCAGAACACAAUCGUCGUUAACGUGCUUGCUUAUAAAGGAGAUCAUCAUUAUUCAAGCAAGCUAGAGACCAUAUGUGUACAACUAAUUCCAUUGAAUGACACCAUUCCAUCCAUGAGCCAACAACAACAAGAAGAAGAACACCUCCACUCCAGGGACCCUGAGAGACGAAGUGGAAUUGAUAAUGGUGCUGUUUGUUCCUGUUCUCCUAGUUUUACCCACCACAUUGCUAUAGGCUGACAUCAUUGUUCGUGGUUAUGCUGGUUGGAAUUAUACGUUUGCCUUGAAGGCCUUCCCAAAGGCUGACAUCAUUGUUUGUGGUUAUGCUGAUUGAGAUUUUAGGUAUGUCUUGAAGGUCUUAGACCAAGUCUUCCCAAAGGUCUUAGACCAAGUCUUCCCAAAGGUACACUCUCUCUUCUUAUUGACACUCUCUCUUCCCAAUGUCCAAGAAGAGCACCUCCAGGUUCCGGGCCAGCCAAAACUGCAGCCAAGCAAUAUAUGUCCAAGGAGAUGGCCUUGUUAGCCUUCAAUCGGGCUCUUACUUUAAGCGAACUAAAACCAGAGGAUCUCUGAUUCUUGGUGUGGGUUUUAGAAAGAGCAAAGAGCAAGUUGAAGUGCUGUCAAAAGAGUUGGCUCAUCGUCCGGCUGUGCCAGGAUGUACAAGUAUUGUAGCAUCAUUCCAUUAGAUGAUUCUUUGGGUUAUGCUGCAAAAUUUUCACACAUGCUGGGAUAUAAUAGUCCUCAGAUGAAAGAACUCAUGAGGCUUAUGUCACCAUCCACAGGUGCCAAGCAAAGAGCAAGUUGAGGUGCUGUCAAAAGAGUUGCUCAUCAUGCGGCUGUGCCAGAUUAUGUUUACAAAGUUAUUGAUGCUCUGCCUUCGACAGUCCAAUGACUCAAUGUGCUAGCGGUGUUAUGGCCCUUCAGGUGGAUGGCUCCCAUAGUAUAUAUCUAUGGUCCAACUACUCGGCAAGGUUCCGAGCCAGUCAAGCAAUGGCUCCUAUAUUGAAGGAGAUUCUGCCACGAUCCAAGGAUAUAUAGAUGGCCUCCAUGAAUUGUGGGUCCUUAUCUAUCUAUGGGUCCAAUCACUCGGACAAGGUUCCGAGCCAGCCAAGUAAUGACCCCUAUCUUGAAGGAGAUUCUGCUACGAUCCAAGUUUACUAGGAAACAGCCGGAUUAACAGUUAACGAUCAUGUUCGUACAAGGAGGCCUUUGAAGAACGAUUGCGAGAAUAUCAUGUGAUGUGUACAUCCCUCGGCGGUAUUUCUGUCCCAGCUCUUGACAAAAGAUUGUCUUUGGGACUAGUUCCUAGCCCAAUCAAUUCUGUCACAGGGAGACACAAUAACUGGUGGUGACAUGUUCUUAUGGACUUCCCACAUCUGUACGUGAUGAAAGUGUUAUUGUUGGUGCAGUUUCACCUCCUGGAUGAGACUUUUCAGAUCAUGUGGCUUCUGCUUCCGUUGGUAUUAUGCAUGUCUUCUGGGGUUUGGACAAAAAGCUUGCCCAGAGAAAACAUUUUCCUUCUAUUAAUUUGUUGAUUUCCUACUCAAAGUAUUCAACGGCAUAGGAGUCUUUCUAUUAGAGGUUCGAUCCAGAUUUCAUCUAAAUCAGGACAAAGGCCAGAGAGGUGUUGCAAAGGGAAGACGGUCUUAAUGAAAUUGUCCAGGAUAUGACCAUGGUGUUUUGCGUAAAACGGAUCCAAGAUAUGUGUACCGAGUCCCUACUCUGCAAGUGAGGUUAGCAAAGGUGCGGUUAACUAUGUUCUGUUGACAAGGGCCACAAGCCAACUAUUUUGGAGGGAUCAAUGUUGUGGAGGAAAAGAGUCACAACAAUGGCUUCAGAGCAUCCUGAGGUUAAAGUGAAUCAGAUGCAGUGCUUCUUGGAGCCAUUGGAGGGUACAAAUGGGAUAACAAUGAAAAGCAUCUGAGGCCUGAGAAGGGGUUACUUCAGUUGAGCUUCGUGCAGGUCUCUUAAGUCUUUGCAAGUUCUGCCUCAGACAUCAUUACACGAAAACCUAAAGAUUUUGCACAGUUCUUGGCGAAGUCUAUCCCUUGCUUUGAAACCCAAUCUUCAAGUGUUUGUUGGGACGCGACCACAAGGGCCACACAGUAACUGUAGAAUGAAUCAGCAUGCAUGAAACAUAACGUUUUCAACAUAGGGACUUAUACUGAGAGCAUCUUACUUCUGCGGAAAAAAAGGAGUCUGUUUAAUUAGCUCACCUGGAGAUAAAAGUCAACUUUUGGACAUUCUAGAGAACAGCCGCAUAACUGUGUGAUUUUGUUAUGAUUUGGAUAUCUGAACAUUAGGAUUAAGAACAGGGGACAAGAAAUAGAGGUUGGUUGAUCGUUAGUAAUUAAUAUACGAGCACAAGAAA